GAUGAACGCUGGCGGCGUGCCUAAUACAUGCAAGUCGAGCGAACAGACGAGGAGCUUGCUCCUUCGACGUUAGCGGCGGACGGGUGAGUAACACGUAGGUAACCUACCUAUAAGACUGGGAUAACUUCGGGAAACCGGAGCUAAUACCGGAUAAUAUUUCGAACCGCAUGGUUCGAUAGUGAAAGAUGGCUUUGCUAUCACUUAUAGAUGGACCUGCGCCGUAUUAGCUAGUUGGUAAGGUAACGGCUUACCAAGGCAACGAUACGUAGCCGACCUGAGAGGGUGAUCGGCCACACUGGAGCUGAGACACGGUCCAGACUCCUACGGGAGGCAGCAGUAGAGAAUCUUCCGCAAUGGGCGAAAGCCUGACGGAGCAACGCCGCGUGAGUGAUGAAGGUCUUCGGAUCGUAAAACUCUGUUAUUAGGGAAGAACAAACGUGUAAGUAACUGUGCACGUCUUGACGGUACCUAAUCAGAAAGCCACGGCUAACUACGU
rnacentral:rRNA from 1 species